rnacentral:tRNA from 2 species
GGGGCCGUCGGCUAGCAUGGUCAAGGCUCUGAGCCUCGGACGUUCGGGACCCCGGUUCAAAUCCGGGCGGCCCCACCA